rnacentral:rRNA from 1 species
AGCGCAGGCGGACUUGUAAGUCAGUGGUGAAAUACCUGAGCUUAACUCGGGAACUGCCAUUGAUACUAUAGGUCUUGAAUGUUGUUGAGGUUUGCGGAAUGGGUCAUGUAGCGGUGAAAUGCAUAGAUAUGACCCGGAACACCUAUUGCGAAGGCAGCAGGCUAAACAAAUAUUGACGCUGAGGCUCGAAAGCGUGGGGAUCAAACA